rnacentral:rRNA from 1 species
GAUGAACGCUGGCGGCGUGCUUAACACAUGCAAGUCGAACGGGAAACUUUUCAUUGAAGCUUCGGCAGAUUUGGUCUGUUUCUAGUGGCGGACGGGUGAGUAACGCGUGGUUAACCUGCCUUAUACAGGGGGAUAACAACCAGAAAUGGUUGCCAAUACCUCAUACGCGCACAGGAUCGCAUGGUCCGGCGUGAAAAACUCCGGUGGUAUAAGAUGGACCCGCGUGGGAUUAGCUAGCUGGCAGGGUAACGGCCUACCAAGGGAACGAUGCAUAGCCGGCCUGAGAGGGUGAACGGCCACAUUGGGACUGAGACACGGCGCAGACUCCUACGGGAGGCAGCAGUGGGGAAUAUUGCACAAUGGGGGAAACCCUGAUGCAGCGACGCCGCGUGAAGGAAGAAGUAUCUCGGUAUGUAAACUUCUAUCAGCAGGGAAGAUAGUGACGGUACCUGACUAAGAAGCCCCGGCUAACUACGUGCCAGCCGCCGCCGUAA